rnacentral:rRNA from 1 species
AACGUAGGUGGCAAGCGUUAUCCGGAUUUACUGGGCGUAAAGCGUGCGCAGGCGGUUCGUCAAGUCUGAUGUGAAAGCCCCGGGCUCAACCUGGGAAUGGCAUUGGAAACUAGCGGGCUUGAGUGUGGCAGAGGGGGGUGGAAUUCCACGUGUAGCGGUGAAAUGCGUAGAUAUCGUAAGGAAGACCAGUGGCGAAGGCGGGUCUCUGGACAGUUCCUGACGCUGAGGCACGAAGGCCAGGGGAGCAAACGGG